AUCCGGCUGACGAGUCCCUAACAGCACGAAACACGCGUCUUGGAU
rfam:Schistosoma curassoni strain Dakar, Senegal genome assembly, scaffold: SCTD_contig0003201